UUGCACAAUGGGCGAAAGCCUGAUGCAGCGACGCCGCGUGAGGGAUGACGGCCUUCGGGUUGUAAACCUCUUUCAGCAGGGAAGAAGCGAAAGUGACGGUACCUGCAGAAGAAGCGCCGGCUAACUACGUGCCAGCAGCCGCGGUAAUACGUAGGGCGCAAGCGUUGUCCGGAAUUAUUGGGCGUAAAGAGCUCGUAGGCGGCUUGUCACGUCGGAUGUGAAAGCCCGGGGCUUAACCCCGGGUCUGCAUUCGAUACGGGCUAGCUAGAGUGUGGUAGGGGAGAUCGGAAUUCCUGGUGUAGCGGUGAAAUGCGCAGAUAUCAGGAGGAACACCGGUGGCGAAGGCGGAUCUCUGGGCCAUUACUGACGCUGAGGAGCGAAAGCGUGGGGAGCGAACAGGAUUAGAUACCCUGGUAGUCCACGCCGUAAACGUUGGGAACUAGGUGUUGGCGACAUUCCACGUCGUCGGUGCCGCAGCUAACGCAUUAAGUUCCCCGCCUGGGGAGUACGGCCGCAAGGCUAAAAACUCAAAGGAAUUGACGGGGGCCCGCACAAGCAGCGGAGCAUGUGGCUUAAUUCGACGCAACGCGAAGAACCUUACCAAGGCUUGACAUAUACCGGAAAGCAUCAGAGAUGGUGCCCCCCUUGUGGUCGGUAUACAGGUGGUGCAUGGCUGUCGUCAGCUCGUGUCGUGAGAUGUUGGGUUAAGUCCCGCAACGAGCGCAACCCUUGUUCUGUGUUGCCAGCAUGCCCUUCGGGGUGAUGGGGACUCACAGGAGACUGCCGGGGUCAACUCGGAGGAAGGUGGGGACGACGUCAAGUCAUCAUGCCCCUUAUGUCUUGGGCUGCACACGUGCUACAAUGGCCGGUACAAUGAGCUGCGAUGCCCGAGGCGGAGCGAAUCUCAAAAAGCCGGUCUCAGUUCGGAUUGGGGUCUGCAACUCGACCCCAUGAAGUCGGAGUUGCU
rnacentral:rRNA from 1 species